UAACUCGAGCAAAUAUUUGUCCGCGUUUUUACAAGCGAUUCGUCAUCAAUCACGCCAUCCUGGCUAGUACAACCGGCACUUUGUACCUACCAAAUCCUGAUAAAAACUUCCGGCUGUACUAGCCAGGAUGGCGUGGCCUGACGUGAGCAUUGAACUAUAAAUAAACUGGAAGGCUAACUCAGAGGGGGAAAUUGAAGCCAGUGUAUUUUAGUUUUUCUGAGUUAUGAGCAGAAAUACUCAACAUUGAACGUUGGGCUAUAUAUCAAAUUGAAGCUAUUGAAAAACGCUAUUUGGUGUGGAAAUUUCAAGACUUUAGCUAAAAGGGAAAUAUUGAAAAACUAC